CAGGGAGAAAACAUGGUCCCCUACCUCUUUUUUUUUUUUUUUUGUAAGAGACGGGGUCUCGCUAUGUUGCCCAGGCUGGAGUGCAGUGGCUAUUCACAGGCGUGCUCCCACUACUGAUCAGCACGGGAGUUUUGACCUGCUCCAUUUCCGACCUGGGCCGGUUCACCCCUCCUUAGGCAACCUGGUUGUCCCCCACUCCCAGGAGGUCACCAUAUUGAUGCUGAACUUAGUGCGGACACCCGAUUGGCAUAGGGCACUAUGGCCCAGAACUCCUGGGCUCAAGCGAUCCUCCCACCUCAGCCUCCCGAGUAGCUGGGAGGCUGAGGCGGGUGGAUCAUGAGGUCAAGAGAUCGAGACCAUCCUGGUCAACAUGGUGAAACCCCGUCUCUACUAAAAAUACAAAAAAUUAGCUGGGCAUGGUGGCGCGUGCCUGUAAUCCCAGCUACUCAGGAGGCUGAGGCAGGAGAAUUGCCUGAACCCAGGAGGUGGAGUUUGCGGUGAGCCGAGACCGCGCCAUUGCACUCCAGCCUGGGUAACAAGAGCGAAACUCAGUCUCAAAAAAAAAAAAAAAAAAAAAAUUCUGAUUGGCAGUUGGUUGAAAUAAUUAUUAUCAAUAGAAAGGAAUGGCUGGGUUAUGAUGAGAGGUUGAGAAGACCAAGGUUUUAUCACACAGAUAAAGCCUCUCAGUAGCAGGCUUCAGAGAGAAUAGCUUAUAAACGUUUCUUAUCAGAUUUAAGAUCUGUGUUAGUGUUAAUGCUGAUUGGCUUUUCUUUAAAAAAAAAAAACAACUUUUUUUUUUUUUUCGAUACAGAGUCUCCCUCUGUCACCCAGGCUGGAGUGCAGUGGCACAGCCUCAGUUCCCAGGUUCAAGUAAUUCUCCUGCCUCAGCCUCCCAAGUAGCUGGGAUUACAAGCACAUCCCACCAUGCCAGGCUAAUCUGCAUUUCUAGUAGAGACAGAGUUUCACCAUGUUGACCAGACUCAUCUUAAAUUCCUGGCCUCAAGUGAUCUGCCCGCCUCGGCCUCCCAAAGUGCUGGGAUUACAGGCAUGAACCACUGGGCCGGACGUGGUUGGUUUUUCCUGAAUUUAAAAAGGGAGGAGAGUAUAAUGAGGCAUGCCCAACCCCCUCUUGCCUCAUGGCCUGAACUAGUUUUUCAGGUUAACUUUGGAAUUCCCUUGGCCAACGGGAGGGAUUCAUUCAGUUGACAGUGGGGCGAGGGCUUAGAAUUUUAUUUUUGGUUUACAUUUACAUUGAAACUGCACUGAAUUCAGAUUGCACCCUAGCUUCUUCAAAGCCC
ensembl:lncRNA